GUUUUGCUGAGUGUUGGGCAUGGCCCUGCUGCAGUGCUGCUCCGCUGCUCGCCUCAAUCAUUCAGCGCCUGCCGCCUCCGCCUAGCAAGGGAAGACUCAGCUUAUCAAUCAUUUUCUAAUCAACAAGAGUUGGUAUAUUGUUAAUUUGCCUGGAUAUGGGUGAGUCUCUGUAAUUUUGGUUUUAAUUUGGGCAAUUUCUGUAAUUCUUGAGUCUAUUUCAUGCUGGGAAUAUUGUAUACUUGUAUUGUGAAUCAAUUGUUAUUCGUGUUUAUUCCUGAUCA